rnacentral:tRNA from 1 species
UGUAAUGUAGUUUAUUUAAAAUGUUUGUUUUACACGCAAUUGAACUCUUUACUAGAGCUUUACUA